UGGAAUGUAGCUUAGUGGUAGAGUGCUUGCCUAGCAUGCAUGAAGCCCUGGGUUCGAUCCCUCUGUACCAC
rnacentral:tRNA from 1 species